CGAUAAAUUCGAUAUUGAUGGUUUGACGAUUCGGAGCUCUAUUUACCACGUACAACUUCAAGCCGUUCACGAUCUUGUGGUUCAGAUCGCUGAUCACUGAGUCGGUGAAUUUUUCGAUAAGACUCUGUGGAAGUAUUGUUCUAGACUCUUCAAGUUGCACAAAUAUCUUGUCACCGUACUUUGUAGACAGUUUACUAAAAUUUUUUGUUAAAAAUUUUUUAUUUUGGCACUCACAAAAGCUUGCAAGUGAGACUCUUUAUUCAAGGUAGAAAUGAAAGAUGACAUUUCGACUUUACAAAGUGUUAAAUAAUUGAAUUAAAAAAACUAAUUAAUUCCUACAGACGAAUACAUCGACUUUUAUACAAGUAUAAAAUGGAAGUGGGGAUGUGAGAUUGCGUCCGAGUGUAAGAUCCCUCCCCAACCUAAAAGAAAAGAGGGGAUAGAACUCGAGAUUGAACGACCUAGACCUAAGAGGUCGAUAAACGACCAAGGUCAGCCACGUGUAGCGACUAGGUCAACAACAGACCAAAGCUCAAUGAUCGCCCGAUGAAACGUAAUGGGGGAGCUGGCUCAGCUUGACCUGAUUUGACCUGGCAUAGAAUCCCGACCCGACCAAGGUAAGCCACGUGCAGCGACUAGGUCAACAACAACCCAAAGGUCAAUGACCGUCCAAUGAAAAGUAAUGGGGGAGCUGGAGCAGUUUGACCUCAUUUGACCUGAUCUAGAACCCCCCCUAUAUAAUACCUACUCUAUGUGUUAUAAUAAUUUCACUAAACGUAGUGAAAUUUAUUUUUUAGACGACUUGUCUUGAAAGUGACACAUAUCAAUAUUGUAGCCUACUUUAGAAAGUUGAAAAUUUCAGAGACCGAUGCGGAUAUGAAAUUUAUCAUGCACGGUGCAUGAUAAGAGUUAGUAGAGUUAUGUUUACAAAGUUCAUCAAGACAAUUCAGUUUUAUUGAAAUUUUAACAUUGUCAAACAAUGAUCAAUUACAAAUUUAUUGCCUUUCGUUAAGUAAAUUGAAGGUUACAUUACUGAAAGAACAGUUAUUGAAAUUUAUUGGACUUCUGGGACUUUUCAAAAUCAUCCAGUAAACCUGCCACGGUUGUUGAGGAUGUUGUAAAAAUUGAGGUGGAUGGCAACAUUUGACUAUCGGAAUCAUCUUGUGGGCGAUUUUCAGACGAAUUUCUUAUGGCUGUAAUGAUUUUGUCAGCCACUUUUAUUUUGUGUCCAAUGGAUGUAACCUUCCGCAACAGAAGUAGAAACCCAUCCUCCGUGACGCUUAAGAUCUUCCAUACUGCCAUCUGCAUCCAUAAAAAUUGUAGACAAUGAUCGCCUCAGACAGUGGCCUGUGAAAGCUGCAGGCUGUUCUAAACCCAAAUUAGCAGCAAUUAGUUUGGGUAUACCACUAAUUUUGUUAAUUCCCACGGGUUGUUUAGUGCAUUUGGAAUUCUGAUAGUUUAAAAACAGCCGACGUUCAGUCAUGGUUGGCUUCAACUACUGAUGGAGGUGCGAGUUGUAAAACAUCGUCUUCGUUAUCGCUAACCAUCUGCAUCUGCAUUAAUUCUUCUAACAAAUUCAUUUAAAAUUCAUUUGUGCAAUACUAGUUGGACAAAAUGACAAAACUGUCGAAACAAUUAAAUUUUCAAAACAGUAAAGAAUCCAUAGCAACGUGCUCGUGGCCAACAUGAAUAAAAUUAAAAAAUGGUGUCGCUUGUUUUUAAACAUUUUAUGCAUACAAAAAUAAUGCUUAUUUUCUUGUUCAAGUCGUCUAAAAAAUAGUGUUCACAACUCGUGUUGAAAGUGACUAUCAUGCUCGUGCUUCUUUAUCCGAACUUGGCUUCGCCUUGUUCGUCUAACUGCACUCACAUGAUAUCUUUCACUUUCGACACUCGUUAUGAAAUAUACUAUUUCCAUCUUCAAUUGAACACACAGAACACAACACGAUUAGGUAUUAUUUGACAAAUAUUUUGCAAAAAACUUGUUUAUGUUUAAACAAUUGCAUUCGCAAUACCUACUACUCAACGAUAUGAUUUUCGAAUGUGCUGCGAUUUAUAAAUAUGACGAAAAUCUUAAUUGCUGAAAGAUCUAAAAGACGCCGUUAGGAAAAACAUGGACUCGUUUCGGAAUCGCUGACUUCCCACACUUGUUAGGAAAAUACCUAUUUUUGCUGUUGUCAUUACGGAGGAGCUAGCUGCUAGAUGGUAUAACUGUGUUAUCAUCUUUUAACUUCCCCUCAGUGUUUAAUGAAAUAAAAGGUAUGUUCUGCCAACUGUCGUGAAAAUAAUCAGAUUUUGAAUGUGCUGUGUUUUUAUGAAAAGGGGGUAAAGUAGAAAAAAUACUAUAUGAUACUCGUUCAUACAUUUUUUCGCACUUAUAAAACUCGUAUCAUAAAAUACUAUUUUCUCACUAAUAAAAAAAUAAUGUUGAGUAAAUGUUCAUUUUCAAAUAGUUGGUUCAUGAUAUUUAUUUAAUAUUAAGGCGGCCACACACAGAGAGAGGGAAGACUGCGCAGUUAAAAGUAUGCACGCUUGUCUUAAGUAAAACCCGUACUCUCUCAUUGCACACACACACUCAUACUUCCCCGUCAGUUCUGUAACAAAUGUGCAUCGCAAUGCUAACGAACAAAAAUGUUUAUUUCAUUACAGUGACGUGCAUUUGUAUUAUAUAAAAAAAAUAUAAUCAGACGUCAUUUAAAAAUACGGCGCUAAUGAAUUAAAACUCAAGCGUGCAGCGACUUGUCUCCACACGCACGGGGUUUUCCCCGCGCAGUUAUAACGCUUUAAUUGUUGUCAAUAAAAAAAUUAAAAUGAAAUUAAUUUUACGAUGCUGGUAAUAUGCUACAUGGGGAUAUUAUACCUCGUACAAGUUAUAGAAAUAAAUGCGGGUGUUUACUGGCGAAUCAGAUCGUCCGGAGAAGAAGGGUAUCUAAUUAAAAUUUUAAAAGGUCAGAGUUACGAGAUCACGGUUGUUACUGGAUAGCAGGUAUGAGGUGUUCGCCAGACACCUCACCGUACUCAUAUUACCACCAUAUGUGUAGUAAUUAAGUUAAUCUAAGUUGGUAAUGAAAUGGGGAUAAAAAUUAAAGAUCCAGUGUAUGUAGAAUUUAGGUAAACAUAGGUGCAUUUUUAUUGCAACGAAUUAACAUCAUUUUCUUUAUGUCCCAUGGGAUACCACAACGAGAGACAAACGACAACGUCCUGGAAACAUCGAACUAUCCUAGUAGUAGGGCACAGGGAGGAGUAGGGUCACUUUUGAGCAUCACUUUCGAGAAGAGCGGACGCGGGGCGACGAGUCCGUCAAUGAGCCCACAUUUGGAGAUGAACGAUCCACAUUUGACAACAAACUAAGAAGAAUCCGAUCUUGUUGAAAACUAAUUUCGCUUGUCCACAACGUAAAGAGUCUUACUUUGAAGAAGAAUCGAAGUGGGAAUGCGUAGCGGACGAAAUUCCUGAACAGAGCUGAAAAACAGGGAAAGAAGAUGGGAUGGCAGAUGAUCUGAAAAAUUCGCGACUUGUAGAAACUAGUGAUAGUGAAACGAAAGAGAACAGGAAUCGACAUGAGUCAGGGCAACUUGCAGAAAUUAAGUGGCAUCUCACCGUGUAAACAAGAGCAAAAUUAGGGUAGAAUUGUAAGAUGUUAGGGUAGCCUAAUUUUAGGAAAUUAUUGUCGGGACGAUAAUCUUGAAGGGCCGGCAAAUGUGACAAUUAGCAUCAAGUUGCAAAAAGUAAGUUUGGUUGAUGCCAGGUAUUUCGCCAAAAACGACGAAAUGCUUGGGCCGGCAGAGGGUACCUGGAGAAUAGCAAAUCGAGGACAUAUUAUUAGACAAUUGAAAGUGUAGCGGGCUUGACGAAAGUUCGCGGGUGGGAUUGUGCGUGUCCCUCAAGACUUUCGUACAAUAUGAGAAUGAGGAUGUAGGUAUGAAAGUCAAUAUAUAAGUUUUGUACUUAGGUUAGAUAAUAAUAAAUCUUAGAAUAGGAGAUACAGUUUUUGAUCACAACAUCUCCUAUGGUCUCAGGAGGUGGAGACAUGGUGAAAUGCUUGAACAAGAGAACGACAGAAAACGAACAGAAACAGGGAAGAUUUUAAGAAGAAGUAAACAAUAUAAUAAUAAUAAUAAUAUUUAUUUAUCU